GGGCACCACCAGGGGGUGCAGCUGCGGCUUAUUUGACUCAACACGGGAAAUCUCACCACGCCCGGACACCGGAAGGAUUCACAGAUUAACAGCUCUUUCUUGAUUCGGUGGGUGGUGGUGCAUGGCCGUUCUUAGUUGGUGGAGCGAUUUGUCUGGUUAAUUCCGAUAACGAACGAGACUCUAGCCUGCUAAAUAGGCGUCGUCAUUUAGGUGUGCUCGACUUCGGUCGUGCAACUCACUGGCGACGUAUUAAAAUUCUUCUUAGAGGGACCGGCGUCUUCGAGGCGCACGAGAUUGAGCAAUAACAGGUCUGUGAUGCCCUUAAAUGUCCUGGGCCGCACGCGCGCUACACUGAAGGAAUCA
rnacentral:rRNA from 1 species